rnacentral:rRNA from 1 species
UACGUAGGGACCGAGCGUUGUCCGGAAUCAUUGGGCGUAAAGAGCGUGUAGGCGGCCAACUAAGUCCUGCGUGAAAUCUCGGGGCUCAACCCCGAGCGGUCGUGGGAAACUGGUUGGCUAGAGUGCGGGAGAGGAGAGUGGAAUUCCUGGUGUAGCGGUGAAAUGCGUAGAUAUCUGGAGGAACACCGGUGGCGAAGGCGGCAUCCUGGACCGACACUGACGCUGAGGAGCGAAAGCCAGGGGAGCAAACGGG